AUUGAACGCUGGCGGCAGGCCUAACACAUGCAAGUCGAGCGCGCGGCGGACGGGUGAGUAAUGUAUGGGAAACUGCCUGCUGGAGGGGGAUAACACCUGGAAACAGUAGCUAAUAUCGCGUACCAUCAGAGGUGCCCAGAUGGGAUUAGCUCGUAGGUGGGGUAACGGCUCACCAAGGCGACGAUCCCUAGCUGGUCUGAGAGGAUGACCAGCCACACUGGGACUGAGACACGGCCCAGACUCCUACGGGAGGCAGCAGUGGGGAAUAUUGGACAAUGGGGGCAAGCCUGAUGCAGCCAUGCCGCGUGUGUGAAGAAGGCCUUCGGGUUGUAAAGCACUUUCAGCGGGGAGGCGUUACCCGCAGAAGAAGCACCGGCUAACUCCGUGCCAGCAGCCGCGGUAAUAC
rnacentral:rRNA from 1 species